CCUACGGGGGGCAGCAGUGGGGGAUAUUGCACAAUGGGGGAAACCCUGAUGCAGCGACGCCGCGUGUGGGAAGACGGUCCUCUGGAUUGUAAACCACUGUCCCCAGGGACGAAGAUGACGGUACCUGGGGAGGAAGCUCCGGCUAACUACGUGCCAGCAGCCGCGGUAAUACGUAGGGGGCAAGCGUUGUCCGGAAGUACUGGGUGUAAAGGGAGCGUAGGCGGGAUGGCAAGUUGGGUGUUAAAUCUACCGGCUCAACUGGUAGUCGCACUCAAAACUGCUAUUCUUGAGUGAAGUAGAGGCAGGCGGAAUUACUAGUGGAGCGGUGAAAUGCGUAGAUAAUAGGAGGAACACCAGUGGCGAAGGCGGCCUGCUGGGCUUUUACUGACGCUGAGGCUCGAAAGCAUGGGUAGCGAACAGGAUUAGAUACCCGGGUAGUC
rnacentral:rRNA from 1 species